rnacentral:lncRNA from 1 species
CAGAAGUUUGACAGUUUGCAGUGAGGUCAAAUUGUGUAUGUCGAUUGUUAAAACGAUACAAUGUGUGAGUCAAAGAAAUGGGUUUACGUGAGUGUUUGAUUAUCCCAUUGAAUGUAACAUCAUGUGGAGAUAGUGACACUGAUUGUGGUUUGUGAACACUACUCUCAAAAGAAGAGAUAGGGUUAAAGAAUGUGUUUUUGCUCACCAAAUUGUUGGUUUUUGUAGAGACAACUUCUGUUAUUAUUCAGUAGAUCUUUGCUUAUUCUCAAGUGUUUUUUGCUGAUUCUUUUGGCAAUCAUUGUUUGAUUAAUUAAAUUUUGCAGAAUAGUCACUUCAUUUAAUAAGUGAAGUUUCCAAACUCACUGAGUCACUCCAAUUAUCUGCGUUCUGUGCAUCUUCCAGUUUCGAAGAGUCAUCAUCCUUAGCUGCAUAUUAGAUCAAGUUUUCACUGCCCUCCAACCAUGUAGACUUGCUGCACAAGUUUUCACUCGCCUACCAUACCAUUAUAAAUUCGCAAGUUUUCACUCAUCUGUUGGUUCUACUUUUUAAAUAUUGUUUUGAUGUUAAUUGGAUUGUGCUUUGCCUUCAUCAUCUACACACCAGCAUAUUCCUAACUCACAUAGAAACUCUAACUUAUAUAAUUAGAGCUGAUUUUGGCCUAAAAGUUUACUAUGAGAAGAUUGACAAGAAUACAAAUAAACUUAAAUCCAUUUACCAUUCUUGGGUAUGUGCUUCUCAAUAAUUUAUUUGUUCAAAAUGAAGGUUUACUAUGAGAAGAUUGACAAGAAUACAAGUAAUAUUCUUUCAAACUUUCUUAAUGUUGCGUGCAUAUUUCAAUUAGGAGUUGGGUGCAAGGUUCUAAAAAACGCUAGGCGCAAGUAGGGUGGCAGACUAGCGCCUAGCGUCUAAGAGGCUAGGCGGGGUCUAGGCAAGCGCCUGGGCGGUCUAGGUGGAUUUAGGUAAAUUUCUUGUAUAUCUUGUAAAUAAGUGCAUAUUGACACUUACAAAAAAUUAAACUUGUAUGAAAUUCAUUGAUAAGAUAAUAAAAGAAUAAUAAAAUGCAAAAAGAGUAUCCAACAAGUCUAAAAUUUUAAAACACAUUAAGCAUAUAUGCCAUAGAACCAUAGUGAGGAGUAUUAUAGGAUGACAUAAGUACAAUAAGUUCAUAAUUUAAAAAGAAAAUUAUAUAUGUAUGAAAAUAUGUAAAAAUUUAGGCUCUUUUUGUUAGUUUUGUAUCAUUUUGUAAGUCUAUAAAUAUAACGCAAGUUGGGCCAUGUAUUCCUUGUACAUUUGAGUAGAAAUGUGGUCCAUUUAUAGAUGGGCUUAAUGGACCCUAACAAAAAACCCAAAGUCAUCCAAUCCAUUUUUUAUCCUAUUAGAAUUAAAAAAAAAAAAAAAAACAAAGACACUAGUUUUUAGGCAUCCCGGUUCCAAUCACCGAGUCACUUUCAAAAGAAAAAACCUUAAGCUACUCAUCAAAAACCAUUGUUGCCGUCUGCUUAUCACCAUAUCUGCAAUUGCAGAUUUUCUUUCUCUCUCUCUCUCUCUGUCUCAAACCAUCGUCACACCUAGAGGAAACAGUGAGACGCACAUCGCCCAGAUUUCCUAGUGUCCGCAUACUUCUGGGUAGGCUAUCGUAUUUUCCCAGGCCGUCCAGAUCUUCCAGCUUCCGUCUAUCCCACCCAGCGACCAUUUAGCCCACCUAGGCGUCCGACUUAUGCCACCUAAUAGCUUUGCUGAUUUAGUAAACGAUUUCGAGAUAAUCGUGGCGGAGCACUGCCGUCUAGCGCCUAGGCCGUGUUUUAUAACA